rnacentral:sRNA from 1 species
GGGACAAGAAGCAUCCGUGUCAUUCCUUACUGUCCCGACCCUGUGUUCUCUGCCCACCCAGCCCAAUGCUACCUCCCCACCUAGAAGGCUCAUGAACGAUCCAAUGGUGAUUGGAGACUCUAGAGCAAUACGAGAGAAUCUGGCCCAGGGUUCAGAAGAUGUGAAUGGACACAGCGCUGAAGCAGACUGAGUGGCUCUAAACAAGCCACUGUCCCUGCGGCGGCUAGCUCCCCUCUUUGUCAUUCUAUUACAUGUUUUGCUCCUCCUUGGGUAGAAUCCUGCCCCACCUAGGGCUCAUCUGGCCCUCUUAGCCUGGCCGGAUACCUGAGGCUCAGGAGUGGGCACCUGGCCCAUGUAUCUGUUCUCUGUUGUGAAGGCAAGGAUAGCUGUUUACUGAGAGCUGGACAGCUUGUGUACAGUAAAGCCUUUCUUCUCCAGUGGGCUCCCUUCUUGACCUGGGUGAGCCAGGCGGCCCAGCCAAAUGUGAGACAGAAAGACUGAAACCUGGCAGGCUCGGCUCUGAAGCCACUACCUUGAUGACGCUCGCACAGUACGCUGGCUGACAGAUGGAUUCUUGAUGCUCACACUGAUUGACAGAUGGGACAGAAUAUGGGCACAAGGCUGCAGGAGUUGGAAGCAAAGCACUACUCUGACCCUAACUCCAAGCCUGGGCAGCCUGCUGGACAAUGGCUGGCUGGCUAACCCUGGGUGGUCACCUACCCUAAGGUCCCUGACUACCUUGUGACUUGGGGCGAAUCAUUUCCAUUUCUGGGCCUCAGGGUUUUCCUUUAUAGAAGAUGCUUAUUGCCUUUACCCUGCCUACCCCGUUGGUUGCCUUUGGGGCACAAUGACAUAAUGGCACUGUAUAAAGCAACCCUCUGGAGCUCUUGGACCUGGA